UACGGAAGGCAGCAGUGGGGAAUAUUGCACAAUGGGCGCAAGCCUGAUGCAGCCAUGCCGCGUGUAUGAAGAAGGCCUUCGGGUUGUAAAGUACUUUCAGCGGGGAGGAAGGCGAUGCGGUUAAUAACCGCGUCGAUUGACGUUACCCGCAGAAGAAGCACCGGCUAACUCCGUGCCAGCAGCCGCGGUAAUACGGAGGGUGCAAGCGUUAAUCGGAAUUACUGGGCGUAAAGCGCACGCAGGCGGUCUGUUAAGUCAGAUGUGAAAUCCCCGGGCUUAACCUGGGAACUGCAUUUGAACUGGCAGGCUUGAGUCUUGUAGAGGGGGUAGAAUUCCAGGUGUAGCGGUGAAAUGCGUAGAGAUCUGGAGGAAUACCGGUGGCGAAGGCGGCCCCUGGGACAAAGACUGACGCUCAGGUGCGAAAGCGUGGGGAGCAAACGAGGAUUAGGAUACC
rnacentral:rRNA from 1 species